rnacentral:rRNA from 1 species
GAUGAACGCUGGCGGCGUGCCUAACACAUGCAAGUCGAACGGAGUCCAGCCUUUAAGACCUUCGGGUCAAAGAGGGGAAGACUGAGUGGCGGACGGGUGAGUAACACGUGGGCAACCUGGCUCAUAGAGGGGGAUAACAGAGAGAAAUUUCUGCUAAUACCGCAUAAGCACACACUGCCGCAUGGCAGAGGGUGAAAAGAGAAUCGCUAUGAGAUGGACCCGCGUCUGAUUAGCCAGUUGGCAGGGUAAGAGCCUACCAAAGCGACGAUCAGUAGCCGAUCUGAGAGGAUGAACGGCCACAUUGGGACUGAGACACGGCCCAAACUCCUACGGGAGGCAGCAGUGGGGGAUAUUGCACAAUGGGGGGAACCCUGAUGCAGCGACGCCGCGUGAGUGAAGAAGUAUUUCGGUAUGUAAAGCUCUAUCAGCAGGGAAGAUAAUGACAGUACCUGAAUAAGAAGCCCCGGCUAACUACGUA